GAAACAAUAUGUGUUGCACCAAUUUGACUAUCGCAAAAGAAUUUUUUAGGGAAGAAUUCAUCCAACAUAAUAGGCUUUCAAACCUUCUACGAUGAAGAACCAUUGAUCUUUCGAUUAGUACAAGGCUUGGCACUUUCUGAUGGUUGUAGUUGAUUCACAUCACUCUUUGUUGCUCUUGUCUUAGGAAGUUGUUGUUGACACCCAAUUUUGACCUUUCCCUAUACUAAUUACUUAACGGGCUUCUUAAUCCCAAACAUUUUGAAAUAAUUGGUUCCAUUAAGGCUUAAAAGGUUUUUCAAGUUAUUCCAAAUAAAUUUUAUUGUUGUCAUAAUUCUUAGAUAUUAUGUACGAUUUACAUAAUAAUGUAUAUGGCUAUUAUAUGUUAUGUUUGUUCGAAAUUCGUCUUUAAUGUUUUUUUUUGCUUAAAUAUUUUUAUUUUAGUUGUAUAAUGGUUUACAUUUUACAUCAAUUAUUUUAUGACAACGUCGUUUAUUUUUUUUAUUACGUUAAUUUUCUUUAAUUUUUAAUCAAUUUAGCCAAUAAUUUGGCUAGAUUGACUUUUUUUUAGAUAAACUUGGCCCUUUUGUUUGUCAGCAGCCCAUCUCAGAGUAAUUUAAAAAUUUUCCGUAAUUCCUAGCCCAAUAUCAUUUUGAUUCUCUCCAACCCAUUACUCCAAAUGAGAGCGUCCCAAUUCACUGAGAAAAUCAGCCCUAUUUUUAUUUCCCAGGCCCAUAUGCCAAGCCCACCCUUAUUUCCUGAUUUUCCAGGUUCGACAAAUCCAAGCCCAUUCUGCUUUGACCCAGUCCUCCCAUAUUCGGCCCAUCAGCAAAGGGAUAUUAUCAGCAGUGUCAACAUAGAAGAAACUGACAAAGAGGCGCUGUGACAAUGAUAGGGGUGCGUGAGUGACACGAUAUGACUAGUUCACGGAGGGUACACGACGUUAGACCGAAAUGGAGGUUGCUGUGUAUUUCCUGCUUUUUCUGCUACUGAAUACGAAUUCGUACAAAGGACAACGCAAGGUGUUGAAAUCUCCAUAUUUGCUCAUAGUAGUGCCAAGAUCGGACGGUCCUCAUUUCUUACCCGUUGCCAUUCUGUUGAGGGUUGGUAAUUUCAUACUAAUUACAACUAUCUCCCAUGAGUUGGGGAUGAUUUUUGAUUUUGAAAUGGCUGAAAUCUUUGGGGAUGAUUUUUUGAUUUUGAAAUGGCUGAAAUCUUUUGGCUUAAGAUUUCUUUUCCCUCUCCCCCUUCCCCGAAAAAAAAAUUGAAACCACAAUUCUUCUCCUAUAAAUACAGUCUUUUGUUCUUGGACAAAACAAACCCUUUAUUUGAGAGGAAUUUUGGAGCCGCAGAGAAAAAAUAUACAAGGAGUUCUCUUAGUUUCUCUUGAUAGUUUGAUUGUGAGGGGAAUUCUUGGGAGUUAGUUUUAUCUCGAUGAAAUAUAUAGCAGCAAUUACCAAGGAAAAAAAAUAUAUUUCACAGAGGUUUUCUUUUGAGGAAUACUCUGAGUUUGGAGGGGGAUUUUUGAGAGUCAAAAUGAAAGUCAGGAAAAGAGAAGUGAAAGAGUUACAGUUUCCUGAGCAGUAGGAAAGAUAUUCAAUAGAGUCUAGCUCUACAUCUCUAUCUAGUUACUCAAAUUAAGAUUCGUGUUCAAAGUCGUGGAAGCUCGUUGACUCCUUGCUCACCACUGUCCAGUUAGCUGCCCAGAAGAAGAGUCUUUGAAGGCUCCCUCUCCCUUUGCAUCCAUUUAUCAAGUCAAACCAUUAAAAUUGACGGACACGUUCCAAGGUUUAUAAGAUCAAAGGGAAGUCAAAGAAGCGAGAUUACAAGACCCUCUAUUUUUGUAUUUUCAUUUGUAAUUGGCUUAAGCCUUCGUCGUCUCUCAUUUUUCUGUAUUUACUUUGUAUUAUUAUUUGCUUAGUGUAGGACAAGUACGAAAAAAAUGGGUCAAAAACCCAAAAAGGUCAAAUGGGUCAAAACCCAAAGAAAAAUGGGUCUAAAUACCGGUCCAGACAGACAGAUAAACUGGACACGGACCCAACCCUCCCUCUCUCUCCCUCUCCCUUUACUUUUCUUGUUAUUUAUUUGCGUUUGAUUGCCUCUAGUUUUAAGGUUAGAAAUUCGCAAAUCCUCGCAAGGCGCCACUAUGUUUUAGCGGUUUAAAUUAAAUUGAUCAAUCUGUAAAAAACUAUAAAAGAAUCAAGUAAAUUUUUUGAAUUAAAUGGUGUAGACUAAUAUCAUA